rnacentral:rRNA from 1 species
CGUGUAGGCGGUGCGGUAAGUUGGGCGUGAAAUCCCCGAGCUUAACUCGGGUGGGCCGUUCAAGACUGCCGUGCUAGGGUGCGGGAGAGGGAAGUGGAAUUUCCGGUGUAGCGGUGAAAUGCGUAGAUAUCGGGAGGAACACCUGCGGCGAAGGCGGCUUCCUGGACCGUAACCGACGCUGAGGCGCGAAAGCUAGGGGAGCAAACAGGAUUAGAUACCCUGGUAGUCCUAGCCCUAAACGAUGAGCACUGGGUGUGGCCCCUCACGAGGCCGUGCCGAAGCUAACGCAUUAAGUGCUCCGCCUGGGGACGUACGGUCGCAAGGCUGAA